rnacentral:rRNA from 1 species
UCUUGGUCAAAUUUAGAGGAAGUAAAAGUCGUAACAAGGUCUCCGUGGUGACCAGCGGAGGGAUCAUUACUGAGUUACCGCUCUAUAACCCUUUGUGAACAUACCUAACUGUUGCUUCGGCGGGCAGGGGGUCCCCUCGGGGGCGCCCUCCCGGCCUCCGCCUCUCCCUCACGGGAAGGCGGGGCGCCCGCCGGAGGAUACCAAACUCUAUUUUAACGACGUUUCUUCUGAGUGGCACAAGCAAAUAAUUAAAACUUUUAACAACGGAUCUCUUGGUUCUGGCAUCGAUGAAGAACGCAGCGAAAUGCGAUAAGUAAUGUGAAUUGCAGAAUUCAGUGAAUCAUCGAAUCUUUGAACGCACAUUGCGCCCGCCAGCAUUCUGGCGGGCAUGCCUGUUCGAGCGUCAUUUCAACCCUCAAGCUCCGCUUGGUGUUGGGGCCCUACGGUUGACGUAGGCCCUUAAAGGUAGUGGCGGACCCUCUCGGAGCCUCCUUUGCGUAGUAACUAACGUCUCGCAUUGGGAUUCGGAGGGACUCUGGCCGUAAAACCCCCAACUUUUUACUGGUUGACCUCGGAUCAGGUAGGAAUACCCGCUGAACUUAAGCAUAUCAAUAAGCGGAGGAA